UACGUAGGGUGCGAGCGUUGUCCGGAAUUAUUGGGCGUAAAGAGCUCGUAGGCGGUUUGUCGCGUCUGCUGUGAAAACGCGAGGCUCAACCUCGCGCCUGCAGUGGGUACGGGCAGACUAGAGUGCGGUAGGGGAGAUUGGAAUUCCUGGUGUAGCGGUGGAAUGCGCAGAUAUCAGGAGGAACACCGAUGGCGAAGGCAGAUCUCUGGGCCGUAACUGACGCUGAGGCGCGAAAGCGUGGGGAGCAAACAGG
rnacentral:rRNA from 1 species